CCGCGAUUCGCCCUUCGGGGUGCAGCAGGCGCGAAACCUUUACAAUGCACGAAAGUGUGAUAGGGGGAUACUCAGUGCUUACGACUCUGUUGUAGGCUUUUGUCAAUCGUAAAUAGAUUGGCGAAUAAGUGGUGGGUAAGACUGGUGCCAGCCGCCGCGGUAACCCCAGCGCCACGAGUGGUUAUCACGUUUAUUGGGCCUAAAGCGUUCGUAGCCGGUUUGGUACAUCUCUUGUGAAAUUGUUCUGCUUAACAGGACAGCGUGCAGGAGAGACGGCCAGACUCGAGACUGGGAGGCGUGUGAAGUAUGUCGUGGGGACUGGUAAAAUGGGAUAAUCCACGAUAGACUACCGAUGGCGAAGGCAUCACACGAGAACAGAUCUGACGGUGAGGAACGAAAGCCAGGGGAGCGAACCGGAUUAGAUACCCGAGUAGUCCUGGCCGUAAACGCUGCGAGCAAGGUGUCGCGUAUCUCACGAAGAUGCGCGGUGUCGAAAUGAAGAUGCUAAGCUCGCCGCCUGGGAAGUACGGUCGCAAGACUGAAACUUUAAGGAAUUGGCGGGGGAGCAC
rnacentral:rRNA from 1 species